UACAGAGGUCUCAAGCGUUGUUCGGAUUCAUUGGGCGUAAAGGGUGCGUAGGCGGCGCGGUAAGUCGGGUGUGAAAUCUCGGGGCUUAACUCCGAAACUGCAUUCGAUACUGCCGUGCUUGAGGACUGGAGAGGAGACUGGAAUUUACGGUGUAGCGGUGAAAUGCGUAGAUAUCGUAAGGAAGACCAGUGGCGAAGGCG
rnacentral:rRNA from 1 species